GACGUAGGUGGCGAACGUUAUCCGGAAUUAUUGGGCGUAAAGGGUGCGUAGAUGGCCUGAUAAGUUAGCAGUGGGAAAUCGAGGCUCAACCUCGUGGAAGCUGGUAAUACUGUCAGGCUCGAGUGCAGGAGAGGUUAACGGAACUCCAUGUGGAGCGGUAAAAUGUGUAGAUAUAUGGAAGAACACCAAAUAACGGCGAAGGCAGUUAACUAUUCUGUUACUGACAUUGAGGCACGAAAGCGUGGGGAGCAAAACGG
rnacentral:rRNA from 1 species